rnacentral:rRNA from 1 species
AUUGCCCUCUUUCUUUAGUCCUAACACAUGCAAGUCGAACGGCAGCACAGUAAGAGCUUGCUCUUACGGGUGGCGAGUGGCGGACGGGUGAGGAAUACAUCGGAAUCUACUUUUUCGUGGGGGAUAACGUAGGGAAACUUACGCUAAUACCGCAUACGACCUACGGGUGAAAGCAGGGGAUCUUCGGACCUUGCGCGAUUGAAUGAGCCGAUGUCGGAUUAGCUAGUUGGCGGGGUAAAGGCCCACCAAGGCGACGAUCCGUAGCUGGUCUGAGAGGAUGAUCAGCCACACUGGAACUGAGACACGGUCCAGACUCCUACGGGAGGCAGCAGUGGGGAAUAUUGGACAAUGGGCGCAAGCCUGAUCCAGCCAUACCGCGUGGGUGAAGAAGGCCUUCGGGUUGUAAAGCCCUUUUGUUGGGAAAGAAAAGCAGCAGGUUAAUACCCCGCUGUUCUGACGGUACCCAAAGAAUAAGCACCGGCUAACUUCGUG